CAGCUUGGACGUCACGCUGCCCGACACCGUGAGCCAGGCCGAUCUCCUCGCAGAGGUGCGCAAGCUCAACGAGGAUCCCGCGGUCCACGCGAUCCUCGUGCAGCUG
rnacentral:SRP_RNA from 1 species